rnacentral:rRNA from 1 species
GACGAACGCUGGCGGCGUGCUUAACACAUGCAAGUCGAACGGUAAGGCCCUUCGGGGUACACGAGUGGCGAACGGGUGAGUAACACGUGGGUGAUCUGCCCUGCACUUCGGGAUAAGCCUGGGAAACUGGGUCUAAUACCGGAUAGGACCACUGCCUGCAUGGGUGGUGGUGGAAAGCUUUUGCGGUGUGGGAUGGGCCCGCGGCCUAUCAGCUUGUUGGUGGGGUGAUGGCCUACCAAGGCGACGCAGGGUAGCCGGCCUGAGAGGGUGACCGGCCACACUGGGACUGAGAUACGGCCCAGACUCCUACGGGAGGCAGCAGUGGGGAAUAUUGCACAAUGGGCGCAAGCCUGAUGCAGCGACGCCGCGUGAGGGAUGACGGCCUUCGGGUUGUAAACCUCUUUCAGCACCGACGAAGCGCAAGUGACGGUAGGUGCAGAAGAAGGACCGGCCAACUACGUGCCAGCCGCCGCGGUAA